GGGGGCGACUGGUUUCGACAUAUAUGUUCUGAGCUGGGAAGCAUGCGGUGGUCUCCUCGCCACCUUAAACAGGGGUACCGUCAAAUUAAUUGACAACAAAAGCUAUGCACUCGCUGCUUGAUUAAGCAACGACGUCAACUCGGGGUAGUUCCCCGCCCCCGACGCGACGCCAUUUAGGGGAAUGCUCCGCUGCAGGUAGUCGGUAUGGCAGCGGCCAAGACUGAACCGGCUGGCCGUGCGCCCUUCUGUCACACUGGGGGCCAUCGGUAAGACGCACAGUCUGACUGAGCAUGGAGAUGCCUGGUAAGGGGGAUAUAUGGACCGGAGUUCGAUUCUCCGCGCCUCCACCA
rnacentral:tmRNA from 1 species